ensembl:lncRNA
GCCGUCUUUUUCCCCGGUGCCCUGAGAACGGUUGCAGGUCCUUCCCGUAGCUCCAUCUGUGAAAGGCAGAGCUGGCAGGAACAAUUCUCAAUGCACAAGAGCCUGGGAAGCCAGGCUGAGGAGGAGCUCAUGGGAGCGGAGAGAAGAGCAGCAAAUCCCUCUGUCAACAGGAACUUCAAGGAAACCACUACAGAAGCCUAAGGUGUGCAGCCAGCUCCUAUUCUGCAGAUGAUGACUCAGAGGGAGAGAAACCUAUCACUUGCUCCAGGAUGCACAAGAUUUCCAUUCUUGCUGAAAACAUCCACAAUGUGUCUCCAGCCGAGAACACGGAGCUGAGCAGUGAGGUUGAUGCAAGUGAGACUGCCACCAUGAAAUGUAAUCAUCUCUCUUAGACAACGUGGGCUUCUACAACAAAAAAACAUAGGCUGUGGAACUGGAAUAAUAGAUAUUGAUUUCUCAUGGUUCUGGAGUCUGGGAAGUCCAGAUUAAUGGACUGUGGGCUGUUGAGGAAGUGGCUUUAUUGGAAAGGCCAGUUCUCUCUGCAUGCUUGCUGUGUCUUACUGUUUAAUACCUCAUGUGUCUCGAGAUGCUGUACAGUCCCCAUCAACAAAAAGACAACAAACAGAUGGUGUCCCCUGAACUUGGACUUCACAGCCUCCAGAAGGCAAAGCCCAGAAACUAUGGUAUUCAGACUGGCUUUCAAGGAAGAAAAG